GUGCUCGCUUUGGCAGCACAUAUACUGAAAUUGGAACGAUACAGAGAAGAUUAGCAUGGCCCCUGCGCAAGGAUGACAUGCAAAUCUGUGAAGUGUUUUUUUUUUUA